AAGUUCCCGGAUGACUUACUGCUUCCGCCCAGAUUUUUGAGUGCUUUUCCACGGCUACUCAUGAUACUCAUCUAUCCCAGGAGGCCACGCGAGAGGAUACGUCAAUGCACAUAGCUUGCAAACUGCCAAUAAAAAUCACAGAAGAAGAAGAAGAAGAAGAAGAGAGGAUACGUCAAUAUCAACAUCGCGGAGAUAAGCGACGCGGGGGUUUUCAAAUGGACAGGAGAACACGCGUGUGUUUAUCCAGUGGAGAGACGCUCAUGAUGCUGAAUGCUGUCAUCAAAGAAUGGGAACCGCUGUGUUGAGUCGGCAGUAGGGUUUGGGGUUCAGUGCCUGUAAAUACAUGCUUGUAGUUUGAAUAAAGCUGUUUCAUGUGUUGACUUGUA